AUUGAACGCUGGCGGCAUGCCUUACACAUGCAAGUCGAACGGUAACAGGUCUUCGGAUGCUGACGAGUGGCGAACGGGUGAGUAAUACAUCGGAACGUGCCUAGUAGUGGGGGAUAACUACUCGAAAGAGUGGCUAAUACCGCAUGAGAUCUACGGAUGAAAGCAGGGGAUCGCAAGACCUUGUGCUACUAGAGCGGCCGAUGGCAGAUUAGGUAGUUGGUGGGAUAAAAGCUUACCAAGCCGACGAUCUGUAGCUGGUCUGAGAGGACGAUCCGCCACACUGGGACUGAGACACGGCCCAGACUCCUACGGGAGGCAGCAGUGGGGAAUUUUGGACAAUGGGCGAAAGCCUGAUCCAGCAGUGCGGCGUGCAGGAUGAAGGCCUUCGGGUUGUAAACUGCUUUUGUACGGAACGAAAAGCCCUGGGUUAAUACCCUGGGGUCAUGACGGUACCGUAAGAAUAAGCACCGGCUAACUACGUGCCAGCAGCCGCCGUAAGAC
rnacentral:rRNA from 1 species